rnacentral:lncRNA from 1 species
AUUCUCAAUAACUGCGUAUUUAUUUCAGAAAUGACCAUUAAGCAGUAGAUGCCCAGAGGCAGAAGUGAUGAAACAGUCAAUUUGUCAUAAAGUAAGAUGCAGCUAAAGCUUUUCAAACAGAUUGGAACAAAAUUACAUCUGUUUUUCUCAGAAGAGAGUUCUACAAGGUAAGACAUUGUUAGUAUAGUAAUAAAACAAAUAUAGUUGGUUACAGGCAUAAUUGUUUU